GACGAACGCUGGCGGCGUGCUUAACACAUGCAAGUCGAACGGUGAAGCGCCUUCCUUUUUGGUGGGUGUGGAUGAGUGGCGAACGGGUGAGUAACACGUGAGUAACCUGCCCCCUUCUUCUGGAUAACCGCAUGAAAGUGUGGCUAAUACGGGAUAUUCUGGGUCUGUCGCAUGAUGGGUCUGGGAAAGAUAUUGUUUCGGUGGGGGAUGGGCUCACGGCCUAUCAGCUUGUUGGUGGGGUGAUGGCCUACCAAGGCGGUGACGGGUAGCCGGCCUGAGAGGGUGGACGGUCACACUGGGGCUGAGACACGGCCCAGACUCCUACGGGAGGCAGCAGUGGGGAAUAUUGCACAAUGGGCGCAAGGCUGAUGCAGCGACGCCGCGUGAGGGAUGGAGGCCUUCGGGUUGUGAACCUCUUUCGCCAGUGAAGCAGGCCUGCCUCGUUUGUGGGUGGGUUGACGGUAGCUGGAUAAGAAGCGCCGGCUAACUACGUG
rnacentral:rRNA from 1 species